CGACACACAAGAAAUCGGAGAACGACCCCCUCGUUCCAUUUUCUUCUUCGUUCCAAAACCUGUAGCAACCAACAUCCACCAAAACUUCAUCACCGACCAACCAUGACACCCUUACCUCCAUUAAAGCUUCCCCACAGACCUCCUUCUUUUGAGCCAUUUUUCGAUGGUCCCUUCUUGAGCAAAAGCAACGACCCCAUGAGCUACUGCUCUUGAACAAAAAUCACAGAAGCAUCAUCCUCAAUAGACCUCGACCACCAUUAACACAAGCACACACUCACGUUUCUCGGACGGGAAUAUAAGAAAACGGAACACACAAGAUUUCUACCUUCCUUUCAAUUUCGAUUUUGGUGUUCCAAAAAUGAAGAUUCAGUUGAGGUUUGGAAUCCGAUUCUGAGGUUGUCACUGUUCGUUUGAGGUUUCGGCUGGGUUUUCGAUCGGGUUCGAGUUCGGCAUUUGAUGUUGCUGCAAACAAAUUGGAGUUUUCAUAUAUAAAUUGACUCAUAUAUAAAGGUGUGGAUUUACUUACCGGAGGUUGAGCACAACAGAUGCCCCAAGGCCACUGCAUUCAGAAGUUACUUAAGGAGAUUUUUUAUUUUUCUUAUGUCGUCUUUUACUUUCUAGAUUUGUAAAGUAAUGUCGAGUUUUUUU